rnacentral:misc_RNA from 1 species
AGGUAUUGCAACUAUCUAAUACGUGAACCUUUACCUGAGAUGUAGUUAUAAUGCAGAACAAGUAGUCUGCAGUUUAGUGAUACAUUUGUUCUUAAAAAUGUCAAACAUCCCUUUUCUUUGCGAUAUUGGAAACGAAUGAAUAAGAGAAACUAGUUUUGUUCCAUUUCUAUCACAAAUUGAUUAGCUAAGUCCUUUGAUUUGCAGGUCACGACUCCU